rnacentral:rRNA from 1 species
GACGAACGCUGGCGGCGUGCUUAACACAUGCAAGUCGAGCGGAAAGGCCCUGCUUUUGUGGGGUGCUCGAGUGGCGAACGGGUGAGUAACUCGUGAGUAACCUGCCCUUGACUUUGGGAUAACUUCAGGAAACUGGGGCUAAUACCGGAUAGGAGCUCCUGCUGCAUGGUGGGGGUUGGAAAGUUUCGGCGGUUGGGGAUGGACUCGCGGCUUAUCAGCUUGUUGGUGGGGUAGUGGCUUACCAAGGCUUUGACGGGUAGCCGGCCUGAGAGGGUGACCGGCCACAUUGGGACUGAGAUACGGCCCAGACUCCUACGGGAGGCAGCAGUGGGGAAUAUUGCACAAUGGGCGGAAGCCUGAUGCAGCAACGCCGCGUGCGGGAUGACGGCCUUCGGGUUGUAAACCGCUUUCGCCUGUGACGAAGCGUGAGUGACGGUAAUGGGUAAAGAAGCACCGGCUAACUACGUG